GGGAGAGGUGGCGGAGGACAUGGAGGCGGGGGAACAUCAACAGACAUAACGGGAGAAGGGUUGAUGGAGGGGGCUGGGUCAAAGGGAGGUUGGUGCAUGGGAGUGGGUGGGAACGAAUGAAGUGGCACUGGAUAGUAGUAAGCACCGUCUGCACCGAGAACGGGGCACAGGGGGGUGGGAGCUGAAGGUACACCCCCGGGGGGUGGGGUCUGUGCUGUGACGGGGGAAGCAGGGCGGGAAUUUACUGUUGCGCUCUGGGCGCCAUCAUAGGGCGGUGGCCGCGGGACAAUGGAAACAACAUCAUCAUUGUUAAUACUCCUAUGGUAUACGUACACAGUUUGCCCUUCAAAAUCCAACUCUUCCUCGACCCACCCUUCCCGUUUCAGACUUCUAGCUACCCGAUACCAAGCCUCUGCAAUUUUUGUGAGCCCAUUAUCCAACAACACCCCUUCCUUGUCUAUGAGUAACUUCCUCCAAAACUCAGGUUGCAAUCUGCCACUGGGCGGCAUUUGGAAGCCACACACCUUAGCAAUCUUCCUAAGUUUCAACAUUGCAUCUUCCCCUGCCCUUUCUUUCACAAUAUCACAAGCCAACAAGCCCUUAGCAGGUCUAGCAUGUUCCUGCCCCAUCUUGAAUAAUUGGAGUGAGCCACGUGUUAGAGACAGAUAUACAGAGGAGAUACAGGGGAGAAGGAAGAGGAAUGUCUACAGUGCUCGACUGCCACGAGGACUUGGGUCCCGUGCGUCUUCCCAAAACGUAGACUAGUCACGGGGGUCCGCCCACCCGGGGUGGCGGUCACGGACCGGAGCGAGCGAGCGUGGGUGACUAACACAGCUCUGGGCAACAGACACAGGAGAGAUAAAGGACAAAAGAGAAGAUGAACGUGGCUACGCUAACGAGAAGACAUUUGCAAAAGUCACAAACCUAGAGAUGAGCGUAAACCCCAGAAUCCAGAACCAGCCACACUAUACACACACACACACCAAGGGUACCCACACUCUAACAACAAUUGAACAAAAACCAGAGAAUGACAGAGUAAAAUGGCCAUGUACAUUUUAACACCACUGGCACCAGAUAUUUAAAAUGUGGCAAUCCCCAGCCCUCCCCCACCAGGCUGGUCCCGUUGUAACACAAGUACCAAUGAAACACUGCAAUAAUCAUACAAAAUCCCAGCCCCACCGGCUGUAAUGCGUUCCCUGCCCGCUAGGCAGUCAAGCUAACAUAUACAGGGAGUGCAGAAUUAUUAGGCAAAUUAGUAUUUUGACCACAUCAUCCUCUUUAUGCAUGUUGUCUUACUCCAAGCUGUAUAGGCUCGAAAGCCUACUACCAAUUAAGCAUAUUAGGU